AUCACUGGUGUUCGGGUUGUCAUGCCAAUGGCACUGCCCGGUAGCUAAAUGCGGAAGAGAUAAGUGCUGAAAGCAUCUAAGCACGAAACUUGCCCCGAGAUGAGUUCUCCCUGAGACUAUAAGUCUCCUGAAGGAACGUUAAAGACGAUGACGUUGAUAGGCCGGGUGUGUAAGCGCAGCGAUGCGUUGAGCUAACCGGUACUAAUGAACCGUGAGGCUUAACCUUACAACGCCGAAG
rnacentral:rRNA from 1 species